CCAAGUAGAAUGUACUGAGGUGCAAAAUGCAUCACUGCGAUACUUAUUUCCUUUGAUCGUAGUUAUUUAGUGGCGAUUGCCAUAAAGGAGCUAAUAAUG
rnacentral:ncRNA from 2 species